ACUCAGCUUGUACCUCUGAGCCUGAGGUCAGAAGCAGGCACAGCAGAGGGUGACCGUGGAUCCCCCCACCCCCCACCCUGAGGCUGCCUGCAACCCUUCUGGGAAGCAUUUCAACCUCUUACCAGCAAGAACUGCCCUGGUUGCCAUGGUUACAGUAGAACCACUCACCCACCCACCCACCCACCAAGGCCUCCCAGGACAGGAUCCUCAGCUGCUCAGCGUGAAGUCUAGCUCUGGAAAAAGAAGGAGGAGAGAGAGACUGAUUAUGUAAGAGCAUCCGCUGCCACUCAGCCACCAGCCAGGAAAGGAAGACCCACCGUGCCCACGGAGACACCCAACCCUGUCUUCACACACAAGAAAGGACUCCAAGGCACCUCGGUGGCUGCCUGGAGCCAAGAAGUGACUGGACUGUCACCAAAUUCCAUUUACACAGUAACGGAGCUGGGACCCAGGACUUCAAGCAAGCCAGACAAACACUCUACCAACAAGCCCCUUCCCCAGCCACAGUGAGAUCUUUUCAUUGUUAUUUUGUGCGUGCCAGCACAUCCUUCACCCCCAGACACCCCACCUCUGUUGCUCUGUAGGGGAUCCCACUUCCACAGCAGCACUACUGCAACCCACCUGCUUCCUGUCUGGCAUCUCCCACUCCCCACCCCCUACCCCUCCAAAUGUGACACCCUGAUGCUCUCUUGAAGUGCAGAUUUAGCAUCUCAUCCCUUUCGUUCGACGCGAUGAUUUUUGGGGUGCUGUCACGUUGACGUGCGUGUGAACAGUUUCCUCUUUUUUCCCCUUGCUCAGUAAUAGUCCGUCUGUCCACAUGUCGCCGUGUGUCUACCCACCCAUAAAGAAUCAUCCAGGUUGAUCUGGUCUUUGAUGAGUAUGAAGAAGGCUACACGCCUCAGUGGACAGGCUUUGGUGUGGAGAAGGCUUCCUUCUCGUCUGAGUCCCGCUGUCCUUCAGACCACUGGGGCUCUGCAUACCAGCCACAGACAUACCUGUCCACCGCCAUCAGCUCCCCGUGCUUCCUCACAAAGCCACACACAACCAAGAGGUUCUUCACCACGUCCAAAUAGAAGAAGCCCUGUUGUGCCUCCUCUGUGUGUGCGCAGGUGCAUCCCCGUAGGCACACACAGAGGACACAGGAGGAUGCUGGGUGUCCAACUCUGUCACUCUCCACCUCAUUUCUCUGAGGCAGGGUUUCUGGAUGAACCUGCACCUAGGCUGGCUGCCAGAACACCACAGCUCUCCUCUUGUCUACAUCUGACACAGCCGUGGGAUUUGUGCAGCUGAGCCUGUUUUUUUGUUAGUUUGGUUUGCUUUGGUUUUUAUUUUUUUGUUUUGGCUUGGGUGCUACGAAUUCAAACGCAGGCCCUCAUCUGUGCACUUCGGAAAGCUCCUACCUGCUGAGGCAUGCCCCCAGGCCCUGUUCCAGCUUCUUCAUUCAGAAGGGACUCUAACAUUGAACCCUGCCAUGCAUCCCGGUCGGUCUGCCCGCUCCCAAUGGGGAAGUCAGGUGGGAAAAAGAGGCACAGCCAACCUCAUGGAUCAACCACGUGGCACACGUGUAUGAGUCCCAUUGAAAUGAGAAAGCAGAAAGGACCCUAAGGAAGCUGCCAAGAGGAAGAUAUCUGAUGGCAAGCUUUGAUCUGGAGUAGAGGCUCUGAGGGAAUCAGGCUCCUGGCUGUGGUAGUUUGAAUGAGAUGUUCCAGAUAUUAGGAUACCAGCUGGUAGUGUUGUUUGUGUGUGUGUGUGUGUGUGGGGUGUUACUUAUGUGUGGCUUUGUUGAAGGAAGUGUGUCACUGGAAGAAGCCUGCCUCUACUCCACUAUCAUGGACUCUCUCUUUUCUUUUUCUUUUUUAGAUUUAUUUAUUUAUUUUAUGUAUAUGCAUACACACUGCCACUCUCUUCAGACAGGCCAGAAGAGGGCAUCAUCGGAUCCCAUUACAGAUGGCUUGUGAGCCACCAUGUGGCUGCUGGGAAUUGAACUCAGGACCUCUGGAAGAGCAGUGUCAGUGCUCUUAACCACUGAGCCAUCUCUCCAGUCCUAUCAUAGGCUCUUAACUCUUUGAAUCAUAAGUUCAAAUAAAUUUUUUCUUCUAU
ensembl:antisense Gm15894 predicted gene 15894